GAUGAAGAACGCAGCGAAAUGCGAUAAGUAAUGUGAAUUGCAGAAUUCAGUGAAUCAUCGAAUCUUUGAACGCACAUUGCGCCCGCCAGUAUCCUGGCGGGCAUGCCUGUCUGAGCGUCAUUUCAACCCUCAUGCCCCUAGGGCGUGGUGUUGGGGAUCGGCCAAAGCCCGCGAGGGACGGCCGGCCCCUAAAUCUAGUGGCGGACCCGUCGUGGCCUCCUCUGCGAAGUAGUGAUAUUCCGCAUCGGAGAGCGAUGAGCCCCUGCCGUUAAACCCCCAACUUUCCAAGGUUGACCUCAGAUCAGGUAGGAAUACCCGCUGAACUUAAGCAUAUCAAUAAGCGGAGGA
rnacentral:misc_RNA from 1 species